rnacentral:tRNA from 1 species
AGCCUAUUAGAUCAACUGGUCGAGUUGUACUAUCACAGAGGAUGUAGGUUCAAAUCCUACAUAGGUUA